GACAGAUUCUCUCUAAUUGCCAGAAGACUUGCAAAGACGCACACAAAUUCAUCAAGUCCAUUCUAUGGAGAAAAAAGCCUGUUAAUCAUUUCUGUCCGGAGGGCUGCGAAUCUGAGCUCCAAAGCACAAAGUGCGUCUCAUUCAGCCAACACAGGCGUGGCAGGUGUUCGGGUGCGCUCCGGGUCUCAGGGCUCACCCGCCAGGGCUGAAUCUGCAGACGGAUCUGCAGAAGGCCUUUCAUUCAAGGAAUAUUUGGCUUGUCCCGGCCGCAGCCACUGCCCGAGGCGGCAAGGUCAGGCGCCGUCAGCAUCCCGGGCCCGCAGCGGGACCCAGACCCACCCGCCCCGACGCGGGGGGACGCGACUACGGUUCCCGGCAUGCCUCUGCGUCCCGCCCCCCCCCCCCCCCCGACUCCCGCGGGCCGGGCCUUGUGGCCGCAGGGCGGCGCGGAAACACUCGCAAAGUGCGCCUUUCCCACCAGCGGGCCGUGAGCCCGCAAGUUCCAGCGGAAGUCUUCCUGGACCGACCAGGGUUUCCUGGGCUCGGAGGCGCACCCCGUCCUGCGGGACGCCCCACCCCCGGGCGCUCCAGGCGGCCCCGGCCGGACCACGCCCCGGAAGUGGCUCCCGCGGCCCCGCAGGCCGCCGCGGGCCUCGCAGCCACUGCGAGAGGGUCUGGGCGCGGCGGGGCGGGCCCGGGGGCGGGGCCCGCGGGCGGGGGCGGGGCCUGGCCGGGCGUCUCGGCGCCUGGGGCGGGGCCACGGCUCGGGGGCGCGCGUCUGGGUGGCGGCGGGGCCGCGCCCGUGGGGAGAGGCGGCGGCGGCGGCGGCGGCGGCGGCGGGCAGUGGGGAGGGGGUGGGGAGGAGGGACCGGGCCGGGGGGCAGGGCCAGGGAGAGCCGAGCUCCUGAGGCGGCGGCGGCGUCUCCAACGGGGGAGGAGGAGGGCGGGGACGAGGAUGGAGCGGGCGGGGGGUUGGGGCUGGCGCUAGCCGCAGCGGCUCGCCUCGGACCGGGGGAGCGCGGCGGCUGCUCCUCGAGUUGCGGCGUCGGGCGCCGGGCCGGUGCCGCCGCUGCCGCCGCCCCGGGCGGUGGGGGGAGCGGGGCGCGGGAGGCCGGGCGGCGCGCUGGGGAAGGCUGA
rnacentral:lncRNA from 1 species